GUGCCAGCAGCCGCGGUAAUACGUAGGGGCGCGAGCGUUAUCCGGAAUUAUUGGGCGUAAAGAGCUCGUAGGCGGUUUGUCGCGUCUGCCGUGAAAGUCCGAGGCUCAACUUCGGAUCUGCGGUGGGUACGGGCAGACUAGAGUGAUGUAGGGGAGACUGGAAUUCCUGGUGUAGCGGUGAAAUGCGCAGAUAUCAGGAGGAACACCGAUGGCGAAGGCAGGUCUCUGGGCAUCUACUGACGCUGAGGAGCGAAAGCAUGGGGAGCGAACAGGAUUAGAUACCCUGGUAGUCC
rnacentral:rRNA from 1 species